rnacentral:rRNA from 1 species
CUGCCGCCGGCGACCGGCGCACGGGUGAGUAACACGUAUGCAACCUGGCCGUGACAGAUGGAUAACCGGGAGAAAUCCCGCCUAAUACAACAUAAUGCCGGGAGGGGACAUCCCCUGCCGGCCAAAGGGGGCGACCCCGGUCACGGAUGGGCAUGCGGCGCAUUAGGUAGUUGGUGGGGCAACGGCCCACCAAGCCGACGAUGCGUAGGGGUUCUGAGAGGAAGGUCCCCCACGUUGGAACUGAGACACGGUCCAAACUCCUACGGGAGGCAGCAG